UACGGAGGAUCCAAGCGUUAUCCGGAUUUAUUGGGUUUAAAGGGUGCGUAGGUGGUCUUAUAAGUCAGAAGUGAAAUCUUGCCGCUUAACGGUAAAACUGCUUUUGAAACUGUAGGACUUGAAUUUAGGAGAGGUAGGCGGAAUGAGUAAUGUAGCGGUGAAAUGCAUAGAUAUUACUCAGAACACCGAUUGCGAAGGCAGCUUACUAUACUAAUAUUGACACUGAUGCACGAAAGCGUGGGUAUCGAACAGG
rnacentral:rRNA from 1 species